AGGGUGGAAUCUUUAAGAGGUAAGUAGGUCACAAAGCUCUGCCCUCAUGAAUGGAUAAGUGCUGUCUCCUAGCAGUGGGUCAGGUUAAGAGAGUGAACUCGGCCCCUCCCUGCCUUCUUUCCUGGUUCUGCAUGAAGCUCAUUCCCUUUCUCCCUUCAGUUAUGGCCCAGCCAGGGGCCCCUCACCAAGAUACUAUUGCCAUGUCAUUGGAUCCUCCAGCCAUAAGAAUCAUGAGCCAAGGAAAUCUCUUUAUAAGUUAUCAGGUGGACCCUAAACACAGUCCCAAGUAGUCUUCCAGGAGAGAGGCAGGGGGAGGCUCAACGUGGAUCAGAGAGGACAAGACAGAGAUGGACACAAGCCCAAGAAUGCCAGCAGCCACACAAAACUGGGAGAGAUUCGCCACCUGCUGCACAAGUGGCAAGGACCUGAGUUCGAUUCCUGGUACCAAGAAAAAGGAAAAGAAAACUGGGAGAGAUAAGGGACAACUUCUUACUAAUGAGAUCUCCUCCUCUACAACCUCUUGUUGUUGGAAGACAAUCACCUACAAUCCCGAAGUAAAAGACAGAGAGGAAGAAUCAUUGGCUCAGCUGUGAUCACAUGACAGCCGGCAUCACAUACCACGCAUAUUGGAAAUUCGUCACAGGAAACUUGGGAUACUAAUGCACCAGGGACUCCUGUCAAUGGCCCUGCUCCACCCAAAAAGGACCUUUCAAGAAUGCAGAGUCCCCAAGUGACAUGGAAAUUGUCAUAGUCAUGUUGCCUCAGGGUCCAACUGUUAUGUCACUACUUUUUAGCUGUAAACUUUGACAAAUGGCCUAACCUCUCUGAACCUGUUUCUUUAUCAAAAAAAAAAUAAAGAUAACUAUACCACCACCUGAAAUUGCUUGGAGAUGAAAUGAGAGAGCACACAUCAGCCAGAGCCUGGCAUGUCAUAUCCUGGCCAUCAGUGGACAUUAUCUUUUUUUUCUUUAAACGUUUACUGUUAUACUGCUCCUGAAUUUCCAGGGCUCUUCUGGGAGCAUUUGGAAAGCUUCCUGGGGCACUUUAAACUGUACUCAUAGCCUCGGCAAACCCAGCCCUUGCCAGGCAGCACCACCUGCGAGUGUCAUGGGCUCAUGUCAUUCAGGGUUAAUUUCUCUGAAGUCCAAAACAGCUUGCAGAAAAAGUUGAUGACAAUCUCAAGCGAACUAGAGCCCAAGCCAGGAAGGUGACACAACAGUGGAAGCGAGAGAGAUACUAUUUCUCCCAGUUCACUAAAAAGAAGGAAAGUUAUUAUGACAAAAGCAGUAAGAAAUUACCCACAUGCAGGCAGUUGUGGUAAUUCUCCUUAUGUUGGCAAUGUUGGCAUUUACAUUAUCUAAGGUAUGUUUUCAAGGGUACUCCUGGGUCACACUGCCUUCUAAAUGCCUUUGCUAGCAGAACAAUAAAUUCCACCAUUCGACAUUUUUCCCUUUGCUGAGUUCAAGCACGGAUCUUCUGAAAGCCAAAUGUCACUAAGAAGUUAAUUCCAGCCAGCUUACAACUUAAAACUUUCAGUGAUUUCCUGAUGCUUCAGAAGAAAGUAUAACAUCAUCUUCAUCUUGUUCUUAUACUCUUCUUCUAGUUGUUCAGAUGUUCUAUGAUCUCUCCUGCCUCAGGACUUGGAAUGAGUUACACUAUCUGCUUAGAAAGCUCCUUCUCUCAUUAACACCUGAGUUCCUGGGGCAGGGGAAGAGAAUCUUCUGCUUAUUUCUGAUCCUCUGGACUAAAUUCUGUGCCCAGUGUACAUUUAUGCUAUUAUUUAUGAAUGAAUGAGUGAGUGAAUGAAUGAAUGAAACUAGUCUCAAAAUGAUGACACUGAGAGCACAGUAAGCUUUUGUUUACAGAAGAAUAGCAAAUAAAUGCCAACAUUAGAAAACAGAGAGACUACUGAGGCUGUGCAGUAGCACUGGGUUUGGUUAAAUGUAUGAGGAAAGGCUUAAGCUAGAUAGGAAUUCCCAAGGGGGGGCUGCUCAAGGCUGGUACAGUGCUCCAUGGUUUUCAGAAACCCAGCUACUAUAUUUGUUUUCCACCAAUAUUUGACUAGCUUCUACCCCAAGUGGCCUCAAAGUCCAAAAAGAUUGCUAAGGCUCCAGCUAUUGAAUCUACAUUCCAGGUUAGUCAAAGGAACAAAAGCUUAAAUGAUGUUACUGAGGUGAAUAAGCCAAUUUUAAGGAGCUGUCAAGGAAGCUGCAACCAAUAACUUCUACUCGUGUCACAUUGGUCAUGCUUGCUGAGAAAUACAAUGCUUUAGCUAGACUAAUUGCCAGAAAAUAAUAUUAUUGGUAAUGAAAAGGGGAGAAGGGAUAUUGUGGAGGAAAGCAGCCUCAGCCACAGGGACUAAGGCCUUGGAUGAGGAAUCCAGGAAGGGGCUUCAGGUAUUCACUGGACUCCUUCAUGGAGAAGGUAGUUAGAGCAUGCUGACCUCCCAAGGGUGGACACUAGACAGGGAAGGGACAAGUGGGACCUGGCCUCACUCUCACGAUUCUCACCUUCACAUGUGAAGCACAAGCUGAUCGGACGUGGAGACCAGAGCAGGGGCUGGCGAGCAGCUCCGAUGAGGAGCAUCUCACUGCCCCAGGUAUUGGGAGAGAUCAUUUUCCCUUGAGGGGGACCUUGGAAGGAUGCAGGGGAUUUUCCCAGGUAAGAAAAGUUGUGGUAGAGAACACAUUUCCAGUGGAAAGAAGAGCUCAGGCAGAGACCCGGUGGUGAUCGAAAAAUGAGUGACCGCAGACUUGAGAACUGGAUCCUGUGGUUUGGGAGUGGCUUGGCCCCCAAGGGCUCCCGUAUUGGCAGCUUGGUCCCCAGGUUGUCAACGAGAAAGACAUGGGACUUUUCAGAGGUGGGGCCUGGUGGGGGCUAUUUAUGUCACCUGGGGCCUGCUCUCCACAGGGAUUAAGGUUUCGUGGGCACUGAGUUCAUUCUAUUGAGAAAGUUGUUAUUAAAAAACACCUCUGCCCACACUCUAACUUCCUGUCUUACCAUGUGACCUCUUUCUCUCUCAAAUGCAUCUGCCCCAGUGCCGUCUGCCAUAAGGUGAUGCAUGGGGUUGGUGGGUGGCACAGGUGACUCACCAGAGCUAGUACCAUGCUGUUUGGACUUUGCACCUCCAAAAGUUCAACAAACUUCUUUAUAUUCAGUCUCAGGUAUUUUGAUACAGUACCAUAAAACUGUCCAAUACACUGGGCAAUGAGAAAUAACCUAGGAAAUCAGUACCAGGUCCCUCAUGACCUAUCCCUGCACACCCUCCCAGGUUUCUUGCACUUAUUACAGCCCAAGAACAUAGACCUUUUACUGCCUCCUCCAUAAGUCUGGUGU